GUAUAUACAAGGAAGUGUAUAAUGUGAUAUUUCUAGCUCCUAGGUCCUAAGAGGGGGAGUUAUAUAAAUAGAGAGGCAGAGAGUGCGUGUGGUUGGUUGGUUAAUUGCCAACAAAGGUGGGAAAAGGAAGGAAGAGAGAAGUAGCAGGCUUUUUUUUUUUUUUUUUUUUUUUUUUUUUU